UUGCUGGUUUUGGACAGUCGCGAUUACACUUCUGUUCAUAGCAGUCGUGAUAAUAAUAAUCCUAGCGAUACUGAACAUUAUAUAGGGCCGAUUUAAGGUACUAUAAUUACCAGUAAAAGAAGACUUAGAUUUUAAAACUCCUUCUAAUGAAAAUUGUUGCUGCUCAAUAUUUUUUAUAUGGCUACGCAAUAACAACAAUACUAAUAAUAAUGAUAAUGAUACUAAUAAUUAUAAUGGUGGAUUUACAACUAUUAUAGUAUUAUUGUAGAUCUAAGAUUGAGAGAUAAGAACUAAAA